rnacentral:lncRNA from 1 species
CACUUAAUCUGCUUUACUUUAGGCCCUCAUCAUUUCGUAUCUGAUUUCUCGUAAUUGUCUUUUCAUUCAGGAAACUCCAAUUUCAUGAUGCCAGUAGAAAAAUGGGACCCAGUGCAAGACUGAUAUUUCCAGGUCCUCCAGCCACUAUAAAAUUUCUCAUUUUCUUGCAAGAAUGGCAGAAUCUCUUUCUCUUUUUGGAAGAACUCAUUGUCCCCAUGACCUGAACUGUUCCCCCAGCACCCCCUCUGCCGCCCUCAUGCCUCCUUUUACCUGCACACACCGUUUGGACCCGAAUUUGGUAAAGAGGAGGGACACUGGAUCCACUGAAGUGGUGAAGAGGUGAAAGAAGAGAUCAUGCGUUUCUUGGUUUCUGCCAUUUGUUUCUCGCCACACUAAGGUCUCUAAAUUCAGCCUGUGUGAAAGAAUCCGAAGGCUAAAUUUGACACCAUGGGAUACCCAAAUGGAGUUGGGGGAGGGGCUGAUGUGAAGAUUUGAGGAAAGAAUUUGGAUCCAGAACCAGCUCCAGCUCAGUUGCCAACUGAUCAAAUGUCCCUUUGGUUCCCUGCACUUAUCCAUGAAAUUUGUAUCUUGGAAAAACUGCAUUUGAAGUUGGCAGAACACAAGUUUUAUGUUUAUCAGAGUUGAGUUUUAAGUGUUUUGUGUUCUCUUUCUCCAAGUGCUCCAUGUGUUCUGAAUAACCCUACCUUUUUCCUAGUCCACGGUAGCGAAGAAAUACUGCUUGGGGUAUGGAAAGAUCAAAAAACAUUAGUAUCAGAACUUGUCUCACUUUUUUCCCCUUUGGCUAGGGGCAUUGCUAGGUUCCCCAUCCAUUCUUGACACAGACAAGCCAGUAACAUCCACAUUAAUCUAGAUUAUGUUGACUUCGUCCUAUUCUGACAACAUGUAAUAUUCUGUGUCUUGUUUAAUCACACAAUAGGACAACACUUCUCACUGAGUCAUUCACUCAUCAUAUUCUGACUGCAGAACAUUUGAUCAUACUUUUAAUGUUUAUACAGUGCUAUGAAUGUACAUGGCAGAGAAAUCAUACUAGGAGGAAAAAAAAAGGUGGUGCUCUCAGCAGACUAGUGUGACAGAAGGAACUCUUUCAGGCAAAGAGAAAAGUUUGAAGUAAACUCAGAAGAGUGAGCAGGCAUAUGUAAAAUUCAACCUUACUGCAAGGUGUAGUUAAGAUUCAUUUAAUAAUGCAAACAAUAUUUAUUAACUAUCUACCUUUGUUAAUACUACGCUAGGUGCUGGAGUAUAAACUCUUUCCCUUAAGGAGCUUAAGAAAAAUAUUGAACAAGUGUCUGUGAGUGUGAAGAGGGUCAUAAAAUACAUAAUAU